UACGUAGGUCCCGAGCGUUGUCCGGAUUUAUUGGGCGUAAAGCGAGCGCAGGUGGUUUAUUAAGUCUGGUGUAAAAGGCAGUGGCUCAACCAUUGUAUGCAUUGGAAACUGGUAGACUUGAGUGCAGAAGAGGAGAGUUGAAUUCCAUGUGUAGCGGUGAAAUGCGUAGAUAUAUGGAGGAACACCGGUGGCGAAAGCGGCUCUCUGGCCUGUAACUGACACUGAGGCUCGAAAGCGUGGGGAGCAAACAGG
rnacentral:rRNA from 1 species